rnacentral:piRNA from 1 species
UGAAAUGCACUGUUGAAUGUGGUGGCUGGG